rnacentral:lncRNA from 1 species
AUUGUAAUUUAUAAUGUGUAUUUGGUCAUUCAGAUGACCAAAUUUGUUUCUCAGAUAUAUUUGGUCUUCAUCCACAGUUCCUGACUUACAUUCCCCAAAACCUUGUCCUACCUGUUGAAAGUGAAAAAGGUAUCAUUUGUUGUGUUAAUGAGGUGAUGUUGCAUCUCCGGAAUGAGGCUGGCUGCCUGGAGAACCAACCUGGUGAUUAGAGGGUAGGAAUUUUUAGUUCCACCUCCUGACCCCUGGGGAGGAAAAAGGAGCUGGAUGUUGAAUCAAUAGCCAAUGGCCAAGGAUUUCACCAAUCACACCUUUGUAAUGAAGCCUCCUAAAAAGCCCGAAAGGACAGGGUUCAGAGAUCUUCUGGGUUGGUGAACAAACCCAUGGAGGUGUGGGUGAGUGUACUCCAGGAGAGGCCGUGGAAGCCCCACCCUUGCCCUCACAUCUUGCCCUAUGCAUCUCUUCCAUCUGGCUGUUUCUUAGUUAUUUCCUAAGUAUUCUUUCCUCAGUGCUGAAUACUAAUUUGAGGGGAUAUCUUUGGUUCUUUGCAGAGAAUGGAGGCUGCAGUAUCAACCCCUAGAGAUUUCCACCAGCUUGGGCCCCUGCAUGGUGCUCCUUCAUCUGGUUGAGUCUGCAGUUGCCAAGGGAGUGAUGGGAGAAUUUCUUGAAGAGGCUUCCAUUCAACCCUGCUCAUUUGCUGGGCUGGCUAUGUCUACAUAAUGGAGAAGAUGAGUCCUGACAGCAGCAGAUUUACAUAGUCCUGCAUGCCUUCUAGUAAGUAAAUAAGCCUCUCUCCCAGAUCAUCCAUAUCAAUCUUUGAAAAAUAUUCUGGCUCUGCUUGUAUCACAUGCAUUCUUGGACCAAUCACAAUGUGUGAGGGGGAAUGCAACACUCUCAUUGGCCAGCCUGAGUCACAGGCUGUCUCCCUGUAGGACAGAUGAAGCCCUGUCUUUGACAGCUCUUACUGUUCCCAAAACAUAAGGAGGCUGAGCAGACAAAAAGGUAAGAUGAUUAAAAUGGGCACAAGAAUUACUAACUUAACUAACUUAAUAAAUAGGGCAGUCUCACUUGCUGGGGGCUAAAUGAGGAAUAGAAGCAUAUGGAAAAAAGUUGCUUGCUACCUCAUUAAGCAAGAGAUACAAUGUGUUUAAAAUAGCUCCCUUGAGCACAGCACACUGCUUGAACAAUGAUGAAGAGAUGUAGACCUCUACUACUGGCAUAAUGAUAACUUUCAUCCCAGAAGCAUUUCUUUUUUCCUAGCACGGAAAUCAGGAGUCUCCAUAGUCAUUAUUCUGAAACAAAAAUCAGUUUAGAAGUAAAAAACCAUUACAACUAUCUUAUAGGAGAGAGAGAGAGAGAGAGAGAGAGAGAGAGAGAGAGAGAGAGAGAGAGAGAGAGAGAGAGAAAAUGUCUUCAUCCAAAGUCAAUGCCUAGUAGGGUGAAUAUAGGCAACCUCUAAUUUAGAAACUCUCCUGACAGAAUAGCAUUGAAUGUCUACCUCUGGAUUCUCUCAAGCUGGACAUCCUUCCAGAGCUGCUUUCCCAGGAGACCAUCUUAUCUUUUUCUGACUGGUCAUUACUCAAGGAAUCUUGGAGCAAGAGCUUGAGGUUAGUACUGUAGAUGAACUAGACCAAAGGGUCCUUUCCCUUCUCCCUUCUCCUCCCCUCCAUCCUCCAACCACCUUAGAAACUCAACUCUUAACUGCUCUACCAGCAUCUCCAUUGUACUUUCUCUAUUAUAAAAGUCUUCUUAUUUUGUUGUCCAAAUUUGUCUCUAUGUGCAUCUUUCCCCAUUUUUUCCAGCCCCCAUCAUUGACAAGAGGGCAAAGCCCCCGUUAAUUCAUUUUUGUCUCUACAGCAGUUCUUACUGCCUGGCAUAUAGUAGGUACUCAAAUCUUAGUUUAAUGAAUGAGAGCUUGACCAUUAUUUGUAACGUAGUGAUUCUCUGGUUUGUUAAGAGGCAGCGAGAAUAAAAUUCCAGGAAAUAUUUUCAGAAUUCAAAGAACUAUGGCUAUUCUAAGCUUAAAAUUAAAUAGUCUAAAUAUAUAAUUAUAUAUACUAGAUUGAAUCUCAUACUAUAUUUUGUUAUAGAAAAGUAGUAACAUUAUCACAGGUUUAAGGAAAGUAGUGAGACAUGUAGCUUAAGAUGAGCAUUAAGAGACUUCCUUUGUGGCACGGCAGGUUAAGAUCCAGCAUUGUCGCUACAGUGGCUUGGAUUCAAUUCCUGGCCUAGGAACUUCCAUAUGCCGCAGGCGGGGCCAAAAAAAAAAAAA